rnacentral:rRNA from 1 species
UGCUCGAGUGGCGAACGGGUGAGUAACACGUGAGUAACCUGCCCUUGACUUUGGGAUAACUUCAGGAAACUGGGGCUAAUACCGGAUAGGAGCUCCUGCUGCAUGGUGGGGGUUGGAAAGUUUCGGCGGUUGGGGAUGGACUCGCGGCUUAUCAGCUUGUUGGUGGGGUAGUGGCUUACCAAGGCUUUGACGGGUAGCCGGCCUGAGAGGGUGACCGGCCACAUUGGGACUGAGAUACGGCCCAGACUCCUAUGGGAGGCAGCAGCC